AAAAUGCGAUAAGUGGUGUGAUAUGCAAGUCCAAAACUUAUACGUGAACCAUCGAAUUGUUGAACGCACUGCAUCGAGCCUUAUCCAGGAACGAUACGCCCCAUUGAGCGUCAUUACGUCUUCGCGACUUGUUGCUUUUCACAGAGCAACCUGUCCGGGCUCGGGAUUCACGACCCUUGGGUCGCGCUUCCUCAGAUACAUUGGCUGCGCCGGCGUGAACGGUGACCUUGUCAUGAAUGUCGAGGUGUGCCGUGAGCUCUGCAUGCAGGAUCCUUCGCAACGUCGAUGGAUCAGACGCGUUCCGGCCUCCGAGCCGGGAUUGCACCUUCUCCACAUGACCUCACGGGGGUGGGACGACCCGCUAGACUUAAGCAUAUUAAUCAGCGGAGGAAAAGAAACUAACAAGGAUUCCCCCAGUAACUGCGAGUGAAGAGGGAUUAGCUCAAUGUGUGAAUCGGGUUGGGAUUAGCCCCCGUCUCGAGUUGUGCACUAUAGACGUCGGAUCAGCGCUUGAAGGAUCGAGGUGGAUGUCCGAUGAAACUCGGUGCCAUAGAGGGUCAUAGUCCUGUACUUGCCUUGUCAUCCUUUGCGCAAUUGACCGGUGUUCUGCGAGUCGCGUAGUUUUGUAUUGCUGCGCUAAGUGGGAGGUAGAGCCCUUCUAAAGCUAAAUAUGGCGACGUGACCGAUAGCACACAAGUACCGCGAGGGAAAGGUGAAAAGCAACC
rnacentral:rRNA from 1 species